UCCUAUUUCAUAUUCUUCAUCAAGAAAUUUGAGGAUUCUUCUUCGUGACACCAUCUCUAUUGAAACCCUAACUUCACCUUCUUCAUCAAGAAAUUUUUGGUUCAUUGUUUUGCAUGUUGCUUGCUAUGUUAUAGAAUUGAUGAGUAUAUCAAUCGCUAUUUGUAAUUGAAACCCUAACUAUCAAAAAGCGAUUCUGAUUCCAUCAAUCUUGCCUAAAAUCUGGUGUGUUCUUCGAUCUAAACAGGCACAGGGCGGCGGCUAGGGUUCCACCACCACAUAAAGCUGACACUUCACUCUCAUUGUUAUUGUUUUACCAUACCCGGAUUUUGACCCGACUACAUAAACUCCUUAAUUAACCUAAUUACUCAUUCGCCUCAUUCAACAACGCUGCUGUGCAAAACACGGUCGGCAUCUACUUGGUUUUGCGAUGAAGGUAAAAUAUGAUAGAUUUGGAGACAAGUUCUUUGCAAUUCAAGAGUUUAUUAUGUGGGAAGGAAAACUAAAAGAGGGGAUUAUAGUGGAGAUUGUACCACCAAAAUCAUCUAAAACAGAGGUCCGAAGGUUAAAAGAUGGCGAAACUAUUGGCAAGAGUACACAUUUUGAGUUUUUUUAAUUUUCUUGCGUAUACGAGUUUUCAUGAAGAAUUGAAUUGUUGGCUCAAAUUUGAGGAAAAAAAUGUCCAGCUUUUUUAGCUUAAAAAGAUGGUGUUUGCUUUAAAAAAAAAUUCGUGACUAAUGAGAAUGCGUUAAUGAGUGAUGCUAAUCUCAACCACCAUGUAUUUAUCGGGUAGUUAACGAACUUACAUUGUGAUUCUAUAGAAAGGUCGUGGCUGUAGCAAUAGUUAACCAUCGCAUCACUCGCUGGAUAAUUAGUUCGUAGAUAGACGUAUGGGGGUUGCUGGUUUUAAUGGUCAAGAUACUCAAUUUUUCCCAGUGGUGUAAAGGAUGCAAGUGGAAUCAUUUACACAGCAACUGUUGUCUCUGUUACAAUCUCCCAAUGUGGAGGUGUAUUUGAUACAUUCACAUAAGGGAUGAGCUUGGUACCAACCGGUACGGACCGGUAUUUGAAGUUAAAAACCGGUACCGAAAACGUAAAAUGUUGGUACCGAAUCGGUACCAAAAAUCAAGUCCGUUCGGAAAUUUGAUAUCGGUUUCGAACCGGUACCCGAUACUAUUUUCUCAUCCGUAAUUCACAGUGAAAAGGCGUCUUCAGUUACUAGAGCUAUAAGUUGAAUGACAUUAUGUUUAAGUUAUAUAUUCAUGUAUUUAGAUUAAGUUAUUGAUAUACUGACCUAUUUUGAUCUAUUAUACCUGAUGCUAAUGUAUGGUGGUUCGGGUCUGCCAUGACAUGUAUUACAUGUAUGCUUAAAAAUUAGAAAAAAAUAGUAAGUUUUCUAAUCCAUGUAUUUCUGGUAAUCGUGUAUGCUUUAAUAUCACAAGCUAAGGAGUGAGUAACUAAGUUUCUAAUUUAAUCUUAGCAUUUCUGGUAAUUAGUCACACACAGACAUUAUUUUUGGAGUUACCAAAGAAGACUGGGUCUUCUAUUAGUAUGUAAAAUAUGGAAUUCGGGUAGAAGUGGUUAGGUAAUGGUUUUGUUCACAUGAAGAACAUAGCAUCAGUAAAAUAUGUGUGCUUUACUAUAUCCCUAAGAUUGAUUCCAAUGUCCAGUAUGCGAGAUGUUUCUCUUCAAAGCUCUAGGAAGAAACUAGAAUUGACGGGUGCUGGGGUUUUCUUGCGACGUCAGCCCGAAGCUCCAAUUGAGCCGGUUGAGAAAUGAGGAUUUUAACUAAAUAAAGUUAAUCAUGAUGAUGUGGCAUUGUGAAAUGAUGUUGAGUUGGAUCAACUUGCUAAUGGAGAAUUGGACUCGAAAGGGCGUUAGACUUUUAUCCGACUUGCAAUUAUCAGCCAUUGACACCAUCUAAUACUAUGGAGAAUGAUCCACAUGGAUAUGUUGUUGGUCUGUUGUUCUUAAAACAGACGAAGGUGACCUUUGGACUGUUGUUGUGAGAUAGACGUCGUCCAGAUACCAAAUGUCUAAUGGUUGGCGUACUUUUGAAUUUCUUCGUCGUUCAAAAAAGUGGGUCAAUGCAAUGGUUUAGUGAGUUGGGUUGUUGAAAACAAGGGAAUGAGGAGUAUGUAUGUUGCAUGAAUGGAAAAGUGUGAAGAAUCAAUGUUUACAGCAUGGGUACAACUUAUGGAUCAUAAGGUUGACAAAUGAUAACUAACAGAUCAUUUAUUUUAGAUUUGCUUCUUUCAGUAAUUCUUUACUUUGGCACCAUGGGUUCAUUUAUGAUUUAUUAACUAUUCGACUUCAGUCUUCUAUGGUUACCCCUUCAAGAGUGGUUCAGUAUGAUGAUGACGGUGAAAGAUGGAAACAAAUUGAUUUUGAUAAGCAAGGAGCGUAUUUAUUUAAAUAGGUGAAGAUAAAGAAGUGAGCGCAGAAUGCAUUGUGCUCAUGGGUGAGGGCGUACAGCGUGCAUCGCGGGGAGUUGAAGAGUAUAUUCAUUGUGAAAAAGCUUCAUUUGAGACACGUGGCGAAAAGUUUUGCACUGAAGGAGCAGCCGUCCGUCACUGGUGGGGAGAUCGGUUCAGAAGAAGCACACAGAAAAGAGGAAAAGGACACACAAAGUAAAAGAAGGUUUGAAAAAGAAGAGAAAGAUGGCAAACCUGGAGGAGGGAGAUUGAGUUGGCAAAUGAAUGGUGAAAGAUGAUUGAUGGUGAAGGUGCAAAUUGCAAGCAAGCAGCUGGCUGGCUGGAAGGAGAAUAGAAUGAAUGUUUUGACAACCACCAAAACAAGUAAGUAUAUUACAUUACUGAGAGUGAGAUGAUGGAUAAUGUUAUUUGAGUUUCAAUUGAUAAUUAGGUUCCUGUUAAUACUUUGCGUUUCUUAAAUUGGUGUAAUGUUUGGUUUUUAUGCAAUUGAAUUUGGUGAUUUCAAA